UCCCUGAGCGUUCUGGCUCUGAUAGGUUC
rnacentral:piRNA from 1 species